GGUUUUAAAACAGCGUUCCUACCGGGAAAAGUCACAAGAAUGCUGCAACUGGUAAUCGCGGUAUACCCAUUUAUGAUGUCAACACUAAAGCUGCUGCAGUAUGCAAUACCAUGACUAUGCUGCACUCUGGGUUUGGACAUACACAUGUGUCCAACUGGCUGGUU